CUUCUAUUGAACUUCUGGAUCGUGUAGCUUACCGCCUUUCUCAUGAGAAGGCAUGGGACCAAGCAGUCUUCAAUGAGGAACUGUUCUUCCCAUCUCGUCCAGGUUAUGAAGGUCUUCAUGCAUCCAGGAGAACCAUGGAUAUAUAUUUCUUCAUGAACAGCAAAGUUCUCUUCAAAACUGUGAGGAAAGACGCUCAGCUCAAGAAGUUAAAGCCAGUGAUUGUGCAUUUGAACUAUCAUCCUGACAAGUUAGAUCGGAUGAAAGCUGUUGUUGAGUUCUAUGUGAAUGGAAAGCAAGAUGCGCUGCAACGUUUCCCUGAUGGGUCAGAAUGAGGAAAUUGCAGAUUUUUCUGGUACAGAAAGAAAUAUAUACCUGCUAUUAUAUCCUUGUGGCUGUGGGAUUGUUUUGGCAUUAGGAUGGGUCGAUGGGAUCCUCUUGCCCGCGAGAAUGUUUGAUGGUCGAGUGCCAUAUGGAUCCUUUGAGCUUGAGCUAUUUGGACGUCGCCUUAGUCUCUACUAACCUCAACAGUUCUGUAGCGAACAUGGAGUAGCUUAGAUGGCUGAUCACAUUUUUCAUUUUUAUCUGAGCUUUCGACACCACUAUAUGCUUUGAUGCUGGCGUUUCCUUGUAUCGUGGUUUGCCUGUGAGUUUGAGAACCAGUUACAGUUUUGAUGAUGAUACGGAUUAAAAAUUCUCGGCAUUAUCCACACACUGCUGUGGACAGGGUUUGAGCACCGGAUUUUCUUUUUGUCCUCCAUGAUUGGAAACCUUCGAAUCUAUCGAAAACUGAUGUGAUCUUGGUUUGUUCAUUUCUGCCGUUUUCCUGCCGCUGACCCCGAAAACAGUGUGGGGAACAUGUUGUUUGGCACAGCUCGAAGCAUCACCAUGUACUGUAGCGCCGGUGAAGCUAAAGAAACUGCCUUCACCGGCUUUACCUUUCUCGCUUUUAGUUCAUUUGAUCAUUUCCUUCAUCAGUUUGGCUUCAUGAUACAGUACCGAGUAGGGUUGUACUCUCUCUGUUCCUAAUUGUAGAUCGUUUUUACUAUGCACCUAUAUAGUGUAGGUGUAGAUUUAUGAACUUAGAAAAUCUAAAACGAUUUACAAUUUAAAACGGAGUGAGUAUACUGUAAAAGGGAGCUUAGGCUAGAGCCGUACCAAUGCAGCCUUAUCUGAGUUCUUGACAUCGGAAGGAAAUGGAGGCGGUUGCCACAUACUCCGACCUACUACCAGCUAGAUGCUUUGAUGGUG
rnacentral:lncRNA from 1 species